rnacentral:lncRNA from 1 species
UAUCCAUACCUUUGAGCCCCAUUCUCUGUCUCCCUGGAGAUCUUACUCCUUCCAUGAAUUCCCUCUGCUCCAGAUCCCAAUAGGAUUGUCUGAAUGGUUGUAAAACUACAAAGGGGUGUGUAUCAUUCUCUUAUGUAAAAUCCAUUCCCCAUCAUUUAGAGGAGAAGUUGGCACAUUUAUAGCUAUUUUGUGUGUGUGCGUACCAUUCUCUUGAGGAAAAUCCUCUCCAAUCACUCCCCGUCAUUUAGAGCGGGAGUUGGCACAUUUAUAGUUAUUUUUGUUGUAACUGGUCAGGGAGUAAAAUAUCUUUGGCUUUGCAAGGUAUCUGGUUUCCGUGGUAGGGAGCAGCUCCGCCACUUUGUUGCCAAAGCUGCCAUAGAAAAUGUGUCGAGGAACCAGUGUGGCUUUGUGCCAAUAAAACUUGAGAGAAACAGUUGAUGGCCCGGAUUCAGCCCAUGCACCAUAGUGGGUCGACUUUGGAUCUAGUGGCUAAAUCAUAAGAGUCAGGCGUCCUGCGCAGAGUUCUUCACGACCUGAGCUUGCUCUUCUUUCUGGCUGUGUUGUGUUAUGACACCUGUGUGCCCGGUCUCCAUAAAAGAUGCUGCGCAGAAGCCAGGGACCUAAGCAGACCCUUUCAGCACAAAACACACUUUGUCAGACACUGCUGUGGGCUGUGUCUCGUUAAAAUCCAUAUAUGGAAUCCACAACCCCCAGGACCUCAGAAUGGGGUUGUUAUUUGGAGACGGGGUCUUUCAAGAGGGGAUGGAGGUAAAUGAGGUCACGGGGGAGGGGGGUCCUGAUCCCCCAGGACGGGGGUCCGUAGACGAAGAGGCGGUCAGGACACAGACACGCACAGAGGGACGACCUGUGAGGACAAAGGGAGAAGACGGCUGUCGACACAUCCAGGAGAGAGGCCUCGGGAGGGACCAGCCCUGCCUGCCCCUGGGGCUCAGGCUCCAGGCUCCAGGAUGGGGAGAGAUAAAUGAUGUUUAUGUGGCCGCCCUGUGUGAGGUUGUUACGAUUUGUUACGAUUGUCCCAGCAACUAAUACAGGCACUGUCUUGGAAAUUAUACUGCUUUGUAACUUCUUUUUUUUUUCUUCUUUCUUUCUCUUUUUAGGGCCACAACUGUGGCAUGUGGAAAUUCCUGGACUAGGGGUCAGGUCUGAGCUGAAGCUACAGGUCUACACCACAGCCAUGGCCACUCCCGAUCCGAGUCGCGUCUUCUGACCUACACCACGGCUCAUGGCAACGCCAGAUCCUUAACCCACUGAGGGAGGCCAGGGAUUCAACCUGCAUCCUCAUGGAUGCUAGUCGGGCUCUUCACCCACUGAGUCACAACGGAGCUCCUGAUUUGCACCUUCUUCGCUUCUUUGUCUAUAAAGCUGUGCUUGACCUCGUGUCUUUGAGGACUCGGGUGCUGCUGAGUUGGAAAGGUGGAGCGUCUGACAGAUUCAGGAUAGUCAGUGACUUCAUUCCAGCUCAAAAGAGAACCAGAAGGUGACACUCCUUGGUAAUCUUCGCAUGCGCCCCCAGCCCCCGGCCCAUGUCCUUUGCAUUUGGGUAGCAGCUUAGGAACAUGGCUUGGUUCUGAUUUUUCCAUCCUGCCUUGGUUCGCACAAUGCGCCAACGACUGGAGGUAUUUUUCUUGGUGCACUCAUCUUCACGAUUUUUAAAAAUAUUUCAUGGUCUGGCUGAGGAACGUGGAAAAUUUUAGGCAAGGGUCCCAGGGUGUCAGACCGCUUCCAAAUGCUGGCUAUUGAAUAAAAAUAUUGCAGGGGGAGGGGGAGGGCGUGGGAUGGACGGGGAGUUUGGGGUGAGUAGAUGCAAACGAGGACAUCGAGAAUGGAUAUGCCAUGAGGUCCUGCCGUCCAGCACAGGGCACUCUAUCCAGUUUCCUGGGAUGGACCAUGGUGGAAAAUAUUAGUUAAAAAAUGCUAGAUAUGUGUAUGGCUGAGUCACUGCUGUACAGCAGACACUGGUGCAACAUUGUAACUCAACUCUAAUAAGAAAGAGAAGAAGAAAUGUCGCAGCUUCCCCUUUAUUGUGAUCAGCCCAGGCUGGGGUUCCGUUGCCAUCACCUUCUCCGGGUCACAGCUGGCCGGUGCUUUCUCUCCUCUGCGCUGUGUCUUGCAACCUUUAAAACACGCUCCCGGUGUCUUUAUGUUACGUGACAUCUUACAAGCCUUCGCUGGAAUCAGGACCUGCCCAUGUGUCCCGAGCCAUGUGCACCUGCUUGGAUGACACUCGCCCACGGGAGUCACGCUUGCGUUGGCCACGAUGCUCGGACCUCGCCAGGACCCGGCACCCACGUUCUGCCAGCAAAAGAGCGACUCGUGUCUCUACAAGGCACACGUGUCUCGGUGGAAGAUGCCUGGCUUACGAUGCCUUGCCUGAUCUUGUGGAACAUAAGCGAGGUGGAGAAAGCCCUGCAGAGCGUGGAGGAGCUUGGCUCUGUUACCACAAACACACCGAAACACGGAUCCAGGCUGGGGAGAGAGAGGAUCCGGUUUAUGUGUAUUUAGCCCCAGUGUGACUUGUAGCGGUUCCCUUCCCAGAACUCCGUUCGUAGCAAUAAAUCUCACAUCCUUCUUUAUCUGCACCCAGACCCACGCAGUCUGUGCUUGUUGGAGAGCCACGCAAUCCAGUUGAAAUCUUGCUGAUAAUCGUGCUGGCUUAUGAACGUCGAAACAGCAAGAAGCCCAGAGAAAACUCGCUUUCCCCCCCACCAUCAGUGGCAUCGUGCAGAGGGAACGGGUGUGCCCGCUGUCUUUGCCGGGUUUCAGACCCGCUUCUAACAUAGACGCCUACACGUCCUGGGAGAAACUUGGCCCCGUUCCCCGCGUCCUCAGAGGUACUGUUCGCUUGCGCGUGUGUUGGAGAUAAUGUGCCCAUCCCAGGAGAACUGAGACCUCACGGGCCAACGUGUCUCAAGAGCUCAGCCGCGUGCCUGGGAAUAUUAGGAAGAUGCAAUGCCUGUUGUGUCUCUUUCCCUUUUGUCUGUCUUCUGUGUUGCAAGGCUGUUCUCUUGUUUGUAUAAGAAAGCGACAUUUGGGAGGUCCCGUUGUGGCUCAGCUGGGUGAGAGCAGGACAUAGGCUCCAUGAGGAUGCGAGUUCGAUCCCUGGCCUCGCUCAGUAGGUUAAGGAUCUGGUGUCGCUGUGAGCUGUGGCAUAGGUUGCAGAGGUGGCUCAGGUCUGGUGGUGUUGUGGCUGUGGUGUAGACCUGCAGCUGCAGCUCCGAUUCGACCCCUAGCUGGGAACUUCCCAUAUGACACAGGUGUGGCCC